GAGCCAUUAGCUCAGUUGGUAGAGCACCUGACUUUUAAUCAGGGUGUCCGGCGUUCGAGUCGCCGAUGGCUCACCA
rnacentral:tRNA from 5 species